GCGGAGCUGGAGCGGUGGCAUAGCCGUGCGAGGUGAGCCAGGACAGGAGAGGGAGUAGUCCCGUCUGGGAGGCAGAGGAAGAAAGAAGAGCCUGCCUGAAGAUACUGAGUGCCGUCUCGCGUGCCUGCUAAGUUAGGGUGGCGGAGCUGGAGCGGUGGCAUAGCCGUGCGAGGUGAGCCAGGACAGGAGAGGGAGUAGUCCCGUCUGGGAGGCAGAGGAAGAAAGAAGAGCCUGCCUGAAGAUACUGAGUGCCGUCUCGCGUGCCUGCUAAGUUAGGGCACCUGAAUAUGUGAGAGGACGUCCCUGACCAGAGUGAAUCAGCAGGACCUUCAUGUGAGCAGCUACAACAUCUGGGCUGGCAGUACGGUGCCAGAAAACCAGCAAUAGUCCUUCAAAAUCCGUGACUCCAGGUGCCUAGCUGAGACCCUAUAAGUAGAAGUUAUAAUACAGUAGUACGCACUACACAUAUAAAGUACCUGCACCCCUUCUCAGCUCAGUUAUAUUACCCCACUGUA